GAGCAUUUUCUGCAGGUGCUCAGUAAAGACUGGCUGAAUGAGGGAAGCAAUUCCAGAUGCUGACAACUGUGCAGUUUUCCACAGUAGGAUCUACUCUGACAACCACUGCUGAGGGAAAUACUGGAACACCUGCGUUUCAGACAAGGACACUGAGACCCAGCUGAAGGAAAGUCUUGAUUAACCAGCUGGUACAAUAUCACACAGUUGGCUGGUGGUCAAGUUGAAAUUUCAGUUUGUGAGUUCAAGCCCCACAUCGCC